AACAAAGCUGGUCUAACAAUUGACCGAACACAGGGCUACAUUGGUGUUCUAGUGGACGACUCAAUUAACCAUAUCUUAUGUUUACCCGUCGUGCAGAGUACAGGAUGAGUUUACGACCGAAUAAUGGUGACUUCUAGGCCUACAGUAAAGUGGAUAUGUCCGUAAUUCUAAGCGAAUGAACAAGUUGACUGUCACAUGACAUACACAAAUCCAAAGGUAGACAAAAUUGUCGCGGAAACCAUUGACAAGAAUCGCCAUGUCAUGGAAGAGAUAAAUGGUCCAAGGUAUUGUCCCUCCUUGGAGUCGAAAGUCUUGAGGUUCAAAGGUCGCUCACAUCAAAUAUGGCUGGAACCUGAAGGUUUGUGUACAUCAUGUAAUACUCUAAUGUACACAGAAAUGAAAUGAUAGAUGUCAAUAUGUAUCAAUGAAUUGUCAAAUUCUUCAACAGAGUUUCAGCUCAGAGGUUGAAUAUAUUUGAUUCAAUUUUUAAAUUACUAUAAAUAAUAUUACAAUAAUAAUCAAUCAAUUUGAACAUCAAACUGCGUUUUGUUCUGAUGGUACAGUAUUAAACAAUCAGUCAUGAAGAUUACAGACAAAUUAUAGUGCAUUGUCAUUACAGUGGUAAUUGUCUCCAGUUCUAUUAAGAAUUUUGGGAUUGAAAUUUUUUUUUUUUAAAUCAACUUCAUCUUACAACAAUAACAACAUUAUGAAACAAUAAGCAUCGAUAGUGUAAACAUGCAUAUUUAAGCGGUAAUCCUAUUCUAUUUACAGCUACAUGUAGCACUUUUUGCAAUAGAAGCUUUGUGCUUAUUAAAGUAUGAUUGUGCUGUUCUACUUUCUAUAUACAUGUACUAUGUACUAUUUCUAUGAAAAAAUAAUUUGGAAGCACCAAUUCAUAAUUAUGUUAAAUUGUUUACACCUUUACAUCCUACGACAAUCUAUUUUCGGUAGGAGUGUAUAUUUUUGAUUUUCCAAACCUCAAGACCCUAUUCUUUAUUCUCGUAUACAGAAAGUACCCAUUUCUUAUGUUAUUUACUCUGGAGAAACAGCUACAAACACAAGAAACACAUUUCCCUCAAGGACUUGGUUCAGGUGAAACACCAGCUGAUUGGCUGAUUUAGUUGUGCGAGUCCUUUAAAUUGCCCUGGUUCAAGAGAAUGGUUUAGAUAAAAUGCAUUAUUGGGCAAAGGAGACCCAAUGUAUAAAUGAGGAGAUGCAUUUCCCCAGAGGCCAUUAAUAAGAGAGGGGGCCCAAUAGAGAAAAUAUUGCAAAUAACUUUUAAAAUCCUUCUUCUUAAAAAAUGAUAGGAUUUGGUCCCAAUUUUUUUAUAUAAUCUAGAAAUGUGAGUUUCCCAUCAAAAACUCCUAUUUCAUUGGUUAUUUCUGACUAAUAGGAUGCAAAAAAUGUAAUUCAAUAUGUUAUCAAUAUUGGACAUCUAUUAUCAAUGCGACAGGAAAAUGUGGACAAUAUUUGUUUUUUUAUGGUCAUAAAAACUAGGCAUGAAGUCACAGGUACAUGCUCCCUUAAUACAACUAACUUCAAUUAUGAUACAUGAUACAAGGUGUGAAGUCACUGCUACAUGCUCCCUUAAUACAACUGAUUUAAGUAAUGAUACAUAAUACAAGGUGUGAAGCCACUGGUACAUACUCCCUUAACACAACUGAUUUAAGUAUCUAUGAUACAUUGUACCCAAUACAAGGUGUGAAGUCACUGGUACAUACUCCCUUAAUACAACUGACUUCAGUAAUGAUACAUAAUACAAGGUGUGAAUAUUCGAAGCCACUGGUACAUACUCCCUUAACACAACUGAUUUAAGUAAUGAUACAUUGUACCCAAUACAAGGUGUGAAGCCACUGGUACAUACUCCCUUAAUACAACCGACUUCAGUAAUGAUACAUAAUACAAGGUGUGAAGCCACUGGUACAUACUCCCUUAACACAACUGAUUUAAGUAUCUAUGAUACAUUGUACCAAAUACAAGGUGUGAAGCCACUGGUACAUACUCCCUUAAUACAACUGAUUUAAGUAUCUAUGAUACAUGUACCCAAUACAAGGUGUGAAGCCACUGGUACAUACUCCCUUAAUACAACUGAUUUAAGUAAUGAUACAUUGUACCCAAUACAAGGUGUGAAGCCACUGGUACAUACUCCCUUAAUACAACUGACUUCAGUUAUGAUACAUAAUACAAGGUGUGAAGCCACAGGUACAUACUCCCUUAACACAACUGAUUUAAGUAAUGAUACAUAAUACAAGGUGUGAAGCCACUGGUACAUACUCCCUUAAUGCAACUGAUUUAAGUAUCUAUGAUACAUUGUACCCAAUACAAGGUGUGAAGUCACUGGUACAUACUCCCUUAAUACAACUGACUUCAGUAAUGAUACAUAAUACAAGGUGUGAAGCCACUGGUACAUACUCCCUUAAUGCAACUGAUUUAAGUAUCUAUGAUACAUUGUACCCAAUACAAGGUGUGAAGUCACAGGUACAUACUCCCUUAACACAACUGAUUUAAGUAAUGAUACAUUGUACCCAAUACAAGGUGUGAAGCCACUGGUACAUACUCCCUUAAUACAACUGACUUCAGUAAUGAUACAUAAUACAAGGUGUGAAGUCACUGGUACAUACUCCCUUAACACAACUGAUUUAAGUAUCUAUGAUACAUUGUACCAAAUACAAGGUGUGAAGCCACUGGUACAUACUCCCUUAAUACAACUGAUUUAAGUAUCUAUGAUACAUGUACCCAAUACAAGGUGUGAAGCCACUGGUACAUACUCCCUUAAUACAACUGAUUUAAGUAAUGAUACAUUGUACCCAAUACAAGGUGUGAAGCCACUGGUACAUACUCCCUUAAUACAACUGACUUCAGUUAUGAUACAUAAUACAAGGUGUGAAGCCACAGGUACAUACUCCCUUAACACAACUGAUUUAAGUAAUGAUACAUAAUACAAGGUGUGAAGCCACUGGUACAUACUCCCUUAAUGCAACUGAUUUAAGUAAUGAUACAUUGUACCCAAUACAAGGUGUGACGCCACUGGUACAUACUCCCUUAACACAACUGAUUUAAGUUAUGAUACAUUGUACCCAAUACAAGGUGUGAAGCCACUGGUACAUACUCCCUUAACACAACUGAUUUAAGUAAUGAUACAUUGUACCCAAUACAAGGUGUGAAGUCACUGGUACAUACUCCCUUCACACAACUGAUUUAAGUAAUGAUACAUUGUACCCAAUAAAAGGUGUGAAGCCACUGGUACAUACUCCCUUAAUACAACUGACUUCAGUAAUGAUACAUAAUACAAGGUGUGAAGCCACUGGUACAUACUCCCUUAACACAACUGAUUUAAGUAUCUAUGAUACAUUGUACCAAAUACAAGGUGUGAAGCCACUGGUACAUACUCCCUUAAUACAACUGAUUUAAGUAUCUAUGAUACAUGUACCCAAUACAAGGUGUGAAGCCACUGGUACAUACUCCCUUAAUACAACUGAUUUAAGUAAUGAUACAUUGUACCCAAUACAAGGUGUGAAGCCACUGGUACAUACUCCCUUAACACAACUGAUUUAAGUAAUGAUACAUAAUACAAGGUGUGAAGCCACUGGUACAUACUCCCUUAAUGCAACUGAUUUAAGUAAUGAUACAUUGUACCCAAUACAAGGUGUGACGCCACUGGUACAUACUCCCUUAACACAACUGAUUUAAGUUAUGAUACAUUGUACCCAAUACAAGGUGUGAAGCCACUGGUACAUACUCCCUUAACACAACUGAUUUAAGUAAUGAUACAUUGUACCCAAUACAAGGUGUGAAGUCACUGGUACAUACUCCCUUAACACAACUGAUUUAAGUAAUGAUACAUUGUACCCAAUACAAGGUGUGAAGCCACAGGUACAUACUCCCUUAACACAACUGAUUUAAGUAAUGAUACAUUGUACCCAAUACAAGGUGUGAAGCCACUGGUACAUACUCCCUUAACACAACUGACUUCAGUAAUGAUACAUUGUACCCAAUACAAGGUGUGAAGCCACUGGUACAUACUCCCU